rnacentral:rRNA from 1 species
UACGGAGGGUGCAAGCGUUAAUCGGAAUUACUGGGCGUAAAGCGUGCGUAGGCGGUUCGUUAAGUCUGUUGUGAAAGCCCCGGGCUCAACCUGGGAAUGGCAAUGGAUACUGGCGAGCUAGAGUGUGUCAGAGGAUGGUGGAAUUCCCGGUGUAGCGGUGAAAUGCGUAGAGAUCGGGAGGAACAUCAGUGGCGAAGGCGGCAUCCUGGACCAACACUGACACUGAGGAGCGAAAGCCAGGGGAGCAAACGGG